GAUGAAGAACGCAGCGAAAUGCGAUACGUAAUGUGAAUUGCAGAAUUCAGUGAAUCAUCGAGUCUUUGAACGCACAUUGCGCCCCCUGGUAUUCCGGGGGGCAUGCCUGUCCGAGCGUCAUUGCUGCCCUCAAGCACGGCUUGUGUGUUGGGCCUCCGUCCUCCUCCCGGGGGACGGGCCCGAAAGGCAGCGGCGGCACCGCGUCCGGUCCUCGAGCGUAUGGGGCUUCGUCACCCGCUUUUGUAGGCCCGGCCGGCGCUUGCCGACACAUCAAUCUUUUUUCCAGGUUGACCUCGGAUCAGGUAGGGAUACCCGCUGAACUUAAGCAUAUCAAUAAGCGGAGGA
rnacentral:misc_RNA from 1 species